rnacentral:rRNA from 1 species
UAGUUGGUAGGGUAAAAGCCUACCAAGGCAAAGAUGGUUAGUCGGCCUGAGAGGGUGUACGACCACAAUGGAACUGAAACACGGUCCAUACUCCUACGGGAGGCAGCAGUGGGGAAUAUUGCACAAUGGGCGCAAGCCUGAUGCAGCGACGCCGCGUGGAGGAAGAAGGCUUUCGAGUUGUAAACUCCUGUUAAGUGGGAAGAAAGACUGUUGGUGAAUAAUCAACGGGGAUGACGGUACCACUAGAGAAAGCACCGGCAAACUUCGUGCCAGCAGCCGCGGUAAUACGAAGGGUGCAAGCGUUAUUCGGAGUUACUGGGCGUAAAGAGUAUGUAGGCGGUAUAUUAAGUUAGUUGUUAAAUUCCACGGCUUAACUGUGGUGAUGCAGCUAAAACUGAUAGGCUAGAGCGCAGAAGAGAGGAGUGGAAUUCCCGGAGUAGCGGUAAAAUGCGUAGAUCUCGGGAGGAACACCGGUUGCGAAGGCGGCUUCUUGGUCUGUGGCUGACGCUAAAGUACGAAAGCGUGGGGAGCAAACAGGAUUAGAUACCCUGGUAGUCCACGCUGUAAACGAUGAUCACUGGAUGUGGGUUGGGCAUAGCCUAAUCUGUGUCGAAGCUAACGCGUUAAGUG